GGAUAGACUUCCCAAAGAAGGUGAUGCCGAAGCUGAGGUCGGAAAUUACGAAGAUCAGCUAUAAGAAUACAGGAAAAGGGAUCUUCAGAUAGUCAAUGAACUACAAAUUCUCCACUCCGUGAUUCGCCCCCUCCAUUCUGAGAUGCUGAAUCCAUGUGGUUGAUCCAUCUGCUUCACUUUCUGCUGCUGCCCAGACUAGUCCAUUUCAAGAAGAUCUUUAAUAAAUGAAAUAAAUGUGACUGUAUGUCCUACAUCCCAUUCCUGUUGUCUUCCAUGUCUCCUCAGAGGAAGGCCUGAGGAGAGAAGACACAUAGUCAUGCUGACUAAACCAGAUCACCUAGAAUUACCAAAUGGAAAGAUUGUGCCUGCAGCCUGGCCUGUUGCCCACAGCGGUCUACCUGCCACACUGGGAAAGAUCGAGCAGAGACAGAGAAGAAAAGGAGGCUCCAUUUUUCAGGCUGCUCUCCCGCAGGCUCAUGUUUUGUGUUCAUGCCAGGCAGAGAACACAAAAUGUUCCAAUAAAUAAGUAUCAAAGGUUAGUGGUGAAAAUGAAGGAGGAGGAGGCAUUGCGUGAAAAACUAAACAUGCAAAAUAUUACACACAAAGAGAACCAAAAUGCAGGUUCACUGGAAAUGAUAGACAAUAUGUUAAAACAAGAGGAGAGAAGAGAGCUGAAAUAAUCAAAUGGAAACACACAAUUUAGGGCUAAGAUCUUGUUGUGUUCAGCCACAAAUGAUGGCCAGCAGUGAGGAAUCUGUGUGUUCUCCACACUCUUCGCUCCUGGGAAGUCAACUCACAUGGACCAUGAUAUCAAUAUCUGCUCCUUCCCCUAAUAUCUGUUUGACCUUGGGUCAGUUACUUAAACUUCCUAAGCCUUAGUUUCUUUGUCUGGAAAAUAGGGAUAGUUAUACCUACCACACAACCACUUUGUAAUGAAUAUGUUGGAAAUUAUAUGCAAAUUGGCUUCCGUUGGUGUUUGGAACAUAGUAGGUUUUUAACUGGAAUAUAAUAGCUACCAUUAUCAGUAUCAUCAUAUUAAUUUAUAUUUCCAUCUUCAGCCCUUAACCCAGGAUCUUCAGUAAAUGUUGAAUUCUCAAAUUUGUUAAAUUCACUUGUCUAUACUAAUAUUUUACUCUAGGUUUCUUAGAAUAUUCUAGAUAAUAUUAUUAUGUAGAAUAUGUUAUGUAAGCUUCAUCUUAUCUGUAAAUAUAGUUUUACUUUUUCCUUUCUAAUUUUUAUGUCGAUUACUUCUUUUUCUUGGCUUAUUGAAUUGGCUAGGAUUCCCGUACAGUGUUGAAUACGUGCAGCAAGACUGCACAUCUUGCCUUGUUCCUGGUCCCACAGAGAGAAUAUCCAGUACUUCACAAUAAGUAUGUGUUAAUUGUAGAUUUUAUUAGAUUGAGGAAGUUCCCUUUCCUUUCAAGUCAGUCUUUUUAUUUUAAACAUGUAUUGAAGUUUUGUCAAAUGUCUUCAUCUAUUGGAAUAAUUAUACAUAUCUCUUUUUUAUUCUGUUAAUAUUACAUUUCAAUCUUCUGUCUACCUAAAAUCCCUAGAAUAAUCUCCAUUUGGCUAUGAUGUGUUGUGCUUUUAUAUAUUACUGAAUUCUAUAUGCCAAUAUUAUUAAAAUUUUCUGUCUUUAUGAGAAAUAUUUGAAUGUAUAUUUUUUCAUGUAUUUGUUUUGAUUUUAUUUUCAAUGCCAUUUUGUAAAAGAGCAUUAAAGUGUUAGUAUGAAA
ensembl:lncRNA CCDC26 CCDC26 long non-coding RNA